GGACUACUGGGGUAUCUAAUCCUGUUUGCUCCCCACGCUUUCGUGCAUGAGCGUCAGUAUCAUCCCAGGGGGCUGCCUUCGCCAUUGGUGUUCCUCCGCAUCUCUACGCAUUUCACUGCUACACGCGGAAUUCCACCCCCCUCUGACGUACUCUAGUUGGCCAGUUUCAAACGCAGUUCCCAAGUUGAGCUCGGGGCUUUCACAUCUGACUUAACCAACCGCCUGCGCACGCUUUACGCCCAGUAAUUCCGAUUAACGCUUGCACCCUACGUAUUACCGCGGCUGCUGGCAC
rnacentral:rRNA from 1 species